CUCGUGCGGCGACACGGCUUAGACUUUUCCCCAUGUUGCUCAUGACUGCAAUGCUCUACGCGGUCGUUCGAGUGUCAAGCCGUGUCAAGAGGAACUCGGAUAUCUUAGUGCCCUCAUGUCGUCUCCUUAUUUUUCCCCCGCGGAGAGGAUGGGCCGGUGGUUCAGUACAGU
rnacentral:snoRNA from 1 species